rnacentral:misc_RNA from 1 species
GAUGAAGAACGCAGCGAAAUGCGAUAAGUAAUGCGAAUUGCAGAAUUUCCGUGAAUCAUCGAGUCUUUGAACGCACAUUGCGCCCCCUGGUAUUCCGGGGGGCAUGCCUGUCCGAGCGUCAUUGCUGCCCUCAAGCACGGCUUGUGUGUUGGGCCUCCGUCCUCCUCCCGGGGGACGGGCCCGAAAGGCAGCGGCGGCACCGCGUCCGGUCCUCGAGCGUAUGGGGCUUCGUCACCCGCUCUUGUAGGCCCGGCCGGCGCUUGCCGACACAUCAAUCUUUUUUCCAGGUUGACCUCGGAUCAGGUAGGGAUACCCGCUGAACUUAAGCAUAUCAAUAAGCGGAGGA